AGGACGAACGCUGGCGGCGUGCUUAACACAUGCAAGUCGAGCGGAAAGGCCCUUCGGGGUACUCGAGCGGCGAACGGGUGAGUAACACGUGAGCAACCUGCCCUUAGCUUCGGGAUAGCUCCGGGAAACCGGAAUUAAUACCGAAUAUGACUGCGGCUGACAUCAGCCACGGUGGAAAGUUUUUCGGCCAGGGAGGGGCUCGCGGCCUAUCAGCUUGUUGGGGGGUAACGGCCCACCAAGGCGACGACGGGU
rnacentral:rRNA from 1 species